CAUUAUAGCCUGUAAAUUGAAGACGUCCCUUCGUUUCCACUCCCAUCCCCUGCCUAUACCAUACAAAUCCCCAUUAUCGAUCUAGGGUUUCCUACCUUAAUCAAUUAUCCUCUUCCUUUUGGGGUUUAGCGAUUAUUUAUACUUCAGAAUCUUAUUCUUCUUAUUUCACGUGGAAUUCUAAAAGAAAUGUAAAUGAAUCGUUAAGGGUUUUGCAUUUUCCGGCGACGACGGGUACAGAUUCAUCAACGGGUACAGAGUCAUCAAGAACAGGAACUGGGAGUGAUAAUGCCAUUAGUCUCCGGCGACGGUAAGGGUUUUUCAUUUUCCGGCGAUGACGGGUACAGAGUCAUCAACGGGUACAGAGUCAUGAAGAACAGGAAUUGAGAGUGAUAAUAUCAUUAGUCGUCGGCGAUGGUAAGGGUUUUUCAUUUUCCGGUCAUAAUUAAUUGUGCCAUUAUUAAGAUUUAUCUGAUUUUCGUUGUUCACUUGCAGUAUUCAAUCAGUUGUUUUAGAAAUUAGGGCAAGCUAUCAUCAAUCUCUUUGUUACCAAAAUCUCACCGCUAUCUCCUAUUCUUUUCGUUUGAUUUGAUAUUUCAAUCUUAUAAAUAUGCUAUUAGUUUUGUUUCUAUCAAUUACUGGUUAUUUGUUCUCAUUCAACUGGUUAUUUGUUUUAAAUGAAUUACUGAUAAUGUAUCAGCUCUCAUAUUCAUGCCUACAGUAAGAAUCGCGAGUCGGCUGCAAGGUCUAGAGAACGCAAACAGGCAUACCAAGCUGAAUUGGAAUCUUUAGCAGUGAAAUUGGAAGAAGAGAACGAGACAUUAAUGAAAGUAAAGACGGAGCAGGCUAGAAAAAGGUAUCAGCAGGAUUGGAGGUCAAUACUUCUUCCACACAAGAAGAGACUGUUUGGGUUGAGGGUUCUACAUUGAUUUUUGCAACCAUGUUUAUAUUGUAACGCGUGGAAAAGCCAGCAGCGUUCAAAAGAAAGACAACGCAUCCUCCAUUGCACCAGUAGAAAAAAGGGUAGUUGAUCAUAAAGAUAAAGAUAGAAAAAAAAGACGUCCCUCAUCCACGAAUGCAGUUUGAUGAUGCAACUCGUGUAGAGAAAGCUAAAAAACGUGCAGUUGUAAAACAAACUGAGGUCAGAAACCGCGUCGAGCUUUUUAGGCAUCUCCCUCAAUAUGAACAUAAAACAAAGCUUCCUCAUCUUGAAAUGAACUUUUACGGCCUCAAUUUUGUUCACCCUGCUGUUUACAAGGCAUUCCUUGAGGCAUAGGUGGUGGAGGCACAAUGGGAAUGCCAUUUUCGUCCUGGUUAUAGCAUUUAGUCAAAUUGACCCGAUUUGGUCAACAUCAACUGUUCAAGAUUUUUAGCCUUUCACUAAACAUAUUUUUCUUAUUUUCAUCCUGUUUUAUCCAUUUGGCCGAUAUUGGAUCAAGAAAUUGAUGGUUAUAACAUUUAAUCAAAUUGACCCGAUUUGGUCAACAUCAUUUGUUCAAGAUUUUUAGCCUUUCACUAACA